rnacentral:misc_RNA from 1 species
GAUGAAGAACGUAGCGAAAUGCGAUAAGUAGUGUGAACUGCAGAAUUCAGUGAAUCAUCGAAUCUUUGAACGCACAUUGCGCCCCUUGGUAUUCCAUGGGGCAUGCCUGUUCGAGCGUCAUUUGUACCUUCAAGCUCUGCUUGGUGUUGGGUGUUUGUCUCGCCUCUGCGUGUAGACUCGCCUUAAAACAAUUGGCAGCCGGCGUAUUGAUUUCGGAGCGCAGUACAUCUCGCGCUUUGCACUCAUAACGACGACGUCCAAAAGUACAUUUUUACACUCUUGACCUCGGAUCAGGUAGGGAUACCCGCUGAACUUAAGCAUAUCAAUAAGCGGAGGA